GGCUUUGUAGCGCAGCUGGUAGAGCGCUUGCCGCGUUAAGGCAUGAUGGUUCUGUCGCUGGCUCGAAUCCAGCCGAAGCCC
rnacentral:tRNA from 1 species